rnacentral:misc_RNA from 1 species
GAAAUGCGAUACUUGGUGUGAAUUGCAGAAUCCCGUGAACCAUCGAGUCUUUGAACGCAAGUUGCGCUCUUUGGUAUUCCGAAGAGCAUGCUUGUUUGAGUAUCAGUAAACACCUCAACCUCUCUUUUUGACAAAAAAAGGGAGGGUGGACUUGAGCUAUCCCAACGACCUUCACCGGUAGGCGGGCGGCUUGAAAUGCAGGUGCAGCUGGACUUUUAUCUGAGCUAAAAGCAUAUCUAUUUAGUCCUCGUCAAACAGGAUUAUUACUUUUGCUGCAGCUAACAUAAAGGAUAAUUGUCCUCUUUGCUGACUGAUGCAGGAUUUUACGACACUUUAUGUGUUGUUCAACUCGAUCUCAAAUCAAGUAAGACUACCCGCUGAACUUAA